GGGGUCGUCGGCUAGCUUGGUCUAGGCUCCGAGCUUCGGGCGUUCGGGACCCCGGUUCAAAUCCGGGCGACCCCACCA
rnacentral:tRNA from 1 species